rnacentral:tRNA from 1 species
GCUUUUUCUUGUGCAGGAGGCCAGGGCACUGUCCGGUUUGCAGCCGGGCGGCAGGGGCUUAGAGGGGCCAGGCCGUUGAGCGCGGCCAGGGAGUGC